AACAGGAUUAGAUACCCUGGUAGUCCACGCCGUAAACGAUGUCGACUUGGAGGUUGUGCCCCUGAGGCGUGGCUUCCGGAGCUAACGCGUUAAGUCGACCGCCUGGGGAGUACGGCCGCAAGGUUAAAACUCAAAUGAAUUGACGGGGGCCCGCACAAGCGGUGGAGCAUGUGGUUUAAUUCGAUGCAACGCGAAGAACCUUACCUACUCUUGACAUCCAGAGAACUUAGCAGAGAUGCUUUGGUGCCUUCGGGAACUCUGAGACAGGUGCUGCAUGGCUGUCGUCAGCUCGUGUUGUGAAAUGUUGGGUUAAGUCCCGCAACGAGCGCAACCCUUAUCCUUUGUUGCCAGCGGUUCGGCCGGGAACUCAAAGGAGACUGCCAGUGAUAAACUGGAGGAAGGUGGGGAUGACGCCAAGUCAUCAUGGCCCUUACGAGUAGGGCUACACACGUGCUACAAUGGCAUAUACAAAGAGAAGCGACCUCGCGAGAGCAAGCGGACCUCAUAAAGUAUGUCGUAGUCCGGAUUGGAGUCUGCAACUCGACUCCAUGAAGUCGGAAUCGCUAGUAAUCGUGGAUCAGAAUGCCACGGUGAAUACGUUCCCGGGCCUUGUACACACCGCCCGUCACACCAUGGGAGUGGGUUGCAAAAGAAGUAGGUAGCUUAACCUUCGGGAGGGCGCUUACCACUUUGUGAUUCAUGACUGGGGUGAAGUCGUAACAAGGUAACC
rnacentral:rRNA from 1 species